CCUUACAGUGAAAUGCUGAAUACAACAGGUGUAGUAGACCUUACAGUGAAAUGCUGAAUACAACAGGUGUAGUUGACCUUACAGUGAAAUGCUGAAUACAACAGGUGUAGUAGACCUUACAGUGAAAUGCUGAAUACAACAGGUGUAGUAGACCUCACAGUGAAAUGCUGAAUACAACAGGUGUAGUAGACCUUACAGUGAAAUGCUGAAUACAACAGGUGUAGUAGACCUUACAGUGAAAUGCUGAAUACAACAGGUGUAGUAGACCUUACAGUGAAAUGCUGAAUACAACAGGUGUAGUAGACCUCACAGUGAAAUGCUGAAUACAACAGGUGUAGUAGACCUCACAGUGAAAUGCUGAAUACAACAGGUGUAGUAGACCUCGCAGUGAAAUGCUGAAUACAACAGGUGUAGU